rnacentral:lncRNA from 12 species
CUUGCCCAGUCCCUGCCCCAGCCCCGCCUCCUGCCCACCGGGACGCUGCCCUCCCUCCGCAGAGCCACUCUCAAGGACGGACGGGAGGUGUGUCUCAACCCCGAGCCCCGCUGGUCAAGAGAAUGAUCCAGAAGAUGCUGAGCAACUCCAACUAACCAGAGGAAGGAGGAAGCUGAUGGGUGGCUGUACCUGAGUCAGGCCCUGCCCUUAAAGGAAUCAAAGAGGAAAAGUGGAAUCUUCGGCUCCCAGUGCCAUCUGAAUUGGGCUGCAUAUGUUUGAGCAUCUCCUAGGAGAGUUCUGCUAUGUAUUUAUUUAUUUAUUUAUCUGUUGGUAGGUUGGUUUCCAAGGGUUUCUGUGUUAACAUUUUACAUAUGAAAUAAUGAGGAUGUAAUUGAAUCCAUUUGUGCACCAUACCGUUAUUUUUUAUUAUUUUACGUUAAACCCAACCUAGUUCAAUCCUGAUGCUUAUUUAAUUUGAAGGUAGAAGGUUUGCAAAUAUUCUCCAGUUAUUAAAUGAAUACUUGUGAGGGGCCCACAGCAUGCCAGCCACUGUGACUGAAGCUGGGGAGAGGGGUUCAAGCAAAUAGAGAGUGAGGUCAUCGUGAGGUUGGGGAAUAUAUGUAUACCUCUAUUUUUAUGAUUGUUUAAAAGAGUGUCAGCUAUUAUUUAUAGAAAUAAUUUCACAGCAUGUGGUCAACAUUUCUCCUGUUGAAGC